UACGUAGGGGGCGAGCGUUGUCCGGAGUUACUGGGCGUAAAGGGCGUGCAGGCGGUGCGGUAAGUUUAGAGUGACAGUCUUCGGCUUAACUGGAGAAGGCCUCUGAAAACUGCCGGACUUGAGGGCCAGAGAGGGACAUAGAAUUCCGGGUGGAGUGGUGAAAUGCGUAGAUAUCCGGAGGAAUACCAAAGGCGAAGGCAGUGUCCUGGCUAGCAUCUGACGCUGAGGCGCGAAAGCUAGGGGAGCGAACAGG
rnacentral:rRNA from 1 species